UUCAAUAUGUUGGAUAUUUCUGCCUCUUCCUUUGUUGUAAAAUUCAGUGUAUUUUGUUAAUGAGUACUCCUGUAUAUCAAGGGUUACAUAUAUUCUAGUUAAAUUGGCACAUGAGACUACUUAAAAAAGAUAACCCAGUGUUUCUGUGAAGAAAAUAUACCAUGAACAAGAAUAUCCUUCAGUUGACAAUUGAAUCCACUGCAGCCUGGUUCCUUAGGCCUGCUGCUGAGUGGGAAUAUCAUUUAGAAUAUUUAGACAUGGCUAUUAUCUAGGCUCAUGAAGAGAGUGUAUGGCAUGCGUCUGUGUAGUUAUCCCAAAAUAUUAAAAGCCUUCUUAGAAAGGAGUCAACGCUGGUGAGGGUUCCCAGCUUCAAGGAGAUUCCAGUGGACAUGACGCCCAAUCUGCAGGAGCGUCUCAACGGGAUCACAGAGGUCCUUUCCCGCAUAUCAAAGCUGGUGACGGAAGACCUGGAGAAGGCUGUGAGCACUGUGGUCGGCCUGGACAAACAAGGUUCCCCCCAGGACAAGCUCCCUGUCCUGGCCGUGGUUCCCAGCCCGGCCGCUCGAUGCCACCCUGGAGGGAAGGAGGGCCUCAACCACCUGGGGGAGCACACACACCCCCAGGUCUUUAUUGCAGUGGCUGGCUGAAGACUGGCCCCAUCGGGGUCAUUGCCAUCACCAUAAACAACAGCUUCGACAGAGCACACAGCGUCGUGGAGGACGUCACCUCACCUCUGGCUGCCUGGACGUGACCUCUGCCAAGCCUGGAUCCACGGGGAUCCCCCUGCUGGACAAGAGAGGCGUGAAGCCGGUGUCCUUCUCGGACUGGGAGAAGAUCAACCAGGAGGAGAGGAGGAGGGGCGCGGCCCAGGGGAAACCCCGGGAGAAGCUUCUGGACGUAGAGGAGACCGCCCGGACCUGAACCCCAAAGUUACCUUCUAUUUCUGAAGACUCUUUCAUAACGUGGAGAACCAUCGCAAUGGAGAUUCAACACAGUUUACCACAAGAAUAAGAUGGCAUGAAACCAUGGACUGUGUUGUAAUGCAGACCAAAAUAAGACAGUCAAUACAAAAAAAACUAUUUAUUAUAUUAACAUGUCGUCCAGCGGUAGCUCCAGAUGUGUUUGUCUGUGGGGCUCAGUAGAUGCCGUAGGUGUGCUCCUUGCCCUCACGGUAGCGGUCCAGGUAGCGGAGCGGCUGCCUGUGGGGGAACUUGACCUGCGCCGGGUGGUACACGGGGGGCCGCACAAACUCAAACACCGGCUCCUUCAUGUCUGCAGGAAGAAGAACACCAGUGGACAGUUUAAUGUUAAUGGAUAUAUCCUCCAAACAUCACAAUUGUACUCUUUUUAAAUAAUAAAAUUCAAUUUUAAUUUA